GUGGGGAAUUUUGGACAAUGGGCGCAAGCCUGAUCCAGCAAUGCCGCGUGGGUGAAGAAGGUCUUCGGAUCGUAAAGCCCUUUCGACAGGGACGAUGAUGACGGUACCUGUAGAAGAAGCCCCGGCUAACUUCGUGCCAGCAGCCGCGGUAAUACGAAGGGGGCUAGCGUUACUCGGAAUUACUGGGCGUAAAGGGCGCGUAGGCGGCUCUGUUAGUCAGGCGUGAAAUUCCUGGGCUUAACCUGGGGACUGCGCUUGAUACUGCAGGGCUUGAGGCCGAGAGAGGGUGGUGGAAUUCCCAGUGUAGAGGUGAAAUUCGUAGAUAUUGGGAAGAACACCGGUGGCGAAGGCGACCACCUGGCUCGGUUCUGACGCUGAGGCGCGACAGCGUGGGGAGCAAACAGGAUUAGAUACCCGUGUAGUCC
rnacentral:rRNA from 1 species